UCAUUUUUCAUAAGGAAGCAUAAUUUGCAGAGUAUCGCAGCAAAAGGCGAACCGAUUAUAUGUAUGAAGACACAUAACCGUGAGUGUAUUGCUUGAUCUCAAAAGAAACUAAGUAAUUCAAACAUCAAGACUCUAUUAUCAUCGAGGCAAAAUAGUAAUUUAAUUUACAUCAUUUGAAACUCUCCCCCAUCAGCACCAGUCCAAUCUCACUCCCAGCUUAGCCUGCACAUUUAGAAAUACAUGCAGGGCGUGAGUACAUAAUACUCAGUGGGCAAAUGCCGAAAAACAAGAAAGGUGCUCUUAGAGCUAUAGGUUUGGAACUUGCCACAUCUCAGCAACACACAGAAAUAAAUUAGCAUUAAAAGAAUCUGUGCAUGCAGUUUUCAUAAUCAACAUCAUAAAUAAGUGUAAGUAAGUGUCUGCAGACAAAGUAUACGUCAUGUAUGUACCGCAUCUACAACUCAUCAUCAUAAUUAAGGUACUGAGAAGUAGGCCUCCCUCUCAAGUACCGUGACCGGCCGACCCGAAGACGGCUCACAGUCACCUCUGUGCACAAAAUCCCGCUUGUGGCAGGACCGAAUUCGUCUCAUCAGUAGAGGGUAACACACAAGCUCAACAUCAAAAAUUGGCAAGUCAAACAGUUCUCAAAUAUCAUUUAUCUCAAAACAUUUGUUAAUCUCAUAACAUCAUUAUAUCAUUAAAUCAUUUUAGAAAGCUCGGAUAAUAAUUGUAUACUCAAAAUAUUGCCCACCUGAAGUCCUUCGCUUAUUCUGGAAAGAAAUCAGGCAACUUACUUCUUCGUCUCGCUCGGGCCUUCAUAUGUCAUCA
rnacentral:lncRNA from 1 species